CCUACGGGAGGCAGCAGUGGGGAAUAUUGCACAAUGGGGGGAACCCUGAUGCAGCGCCGCCGCGUGGGUGAAGGAGUAUUUCGGUAUGUAAAGCCCUAUCAGCAGGGAAGAACAAUGACGGUACCUGACUAAGAAGCACCGGCUAAAUACGUGCCAGCAGCCGCGGUAAUACGGAUGGUGCAAGCGUUAUCCGGAUUUACUGGGUGGAAAGGGAGCGCAUGCGGCGCGGUAAGCAUGGUGUGAAAGCCCGAGGCCCAACCGCGGGACUGCAUUGGGGACUGGCGCGCUGGAGGGACGGAGGGGUAGGCGGAAGUCCUAGUGUAGCGGUGAAAUGCGUAGAUAUUAGGAGGAACACCAGUGGCGAAGGCGGCCUACUGGACGGUGACUGACGCUGAGGCUCGAAAGCGUGGGGAGCAAACAGGAUUAGAUACCCCAGUAGUC
rnacentral:rRNA from 1 species